CUACGGGCGGCAGCAGCAAGGAAUUUUGUGCAAUGGGCGAAAGCCUGACACAGCGACGCCGCGUGAGGGAUGACGGCCUUCGGGUUGUAAACCUCUUUUUUCAGGGACGAAUAAUGACGGUACCUGAAGAAUAAGUCUCGGCUAACUACGUGCCAGCAGCCGCGGUAAUACGUAGGAGGCGAGCGUUAUCCGAAUUUACUGGGCGUAAAGAGAGCGCGGGCGACCCUACAAGUCGAAUGUUAAAGCUCCCGGCUUAACUGGGAGAUACUAUUCGAUACUGUAGGGAUUGAGGACAGCAAGGGGAGACGGAAUUCCCGGUGUAGUGGUGAAAUACGUAGAUAUCGGGAGGAACACCAGUAGCGAAAGCGGUCUCCUGGGCUGUUGCUGACGCUGAGGCUCGAAAGCGUGGGGAGCGAACAGGAUUAGAUACCCCGGUAGUC
rnacentral:rRNA from 1 species